GACGAACGCUGGCGGCGUGCCUAAUACAUGCAAGUCGAACGCAUUUUCUUUCACCGUAGCUUGCUACACCGAAAGAAAAUGAGUGGCGAACGGGUGAGUAACACGUGGGUAACCUGCCCAUCAGCGGGGGAUAACACUUGGAAACAGGUGCUAAUACCGCAUAAUUCCAUUUACCGCAUGGUAGAUGGGUGAAAGGCGCUUUUGCGUCACUGAUGGAUGGACCCGCGGUGCAUUAGCUAGUUGGUGGGGUAACGGCCUACCAAGGCUGCGAUGCAUAGCCGACCUGAGAGGGUGAUCGGCCAAACUGGGACUGAGACACGGCCCAGACUCCUACGGGAGGCAGCAGUAGGGAAUCUUCGGCAAUGGACGCAAGUCUGACCGAGCAACGCCGCGUGAGUGAAGAAGGUUUUCGGAUCGUAAAACUCUGUUGUUAGAGAAGAACAAGGAUGAGAGUGGAAAGUUCAUCCCUUGACGGUAUCUAACCAGAAAGCCACGGCUAACUACGUG
rnacentral:rRNA from 1 species